rnacentral:rRNA from 1 species
GCAUCAGAUGACGAGUGGCGAACGGGUGCGUAACGCGUAUGCAACUUACCUCUAACUAAAGGAUAGCACAGAGAAAUUUGUAUUAAUACUUUAUAAUAUCUGUUUUUCACAUGAUUUACAGAUUAAAGAAUUUCGGUUAGAGAUGGGCAUGCGUGAUAUUAGCUAGUUGGUAAGGUAACGGCUUACCAAGGCAACGAUAUCUAGGGGGUCUGAGAGGAUGAUCCCCCACACUGGUACUGAGACACGGACCAGACUCCUACGGGAGGCAGCAGUGAGGAAUAUUGGUCAAUGGACGCAAGUCUGAACCAGCCAUGCCGCGUGUAGGAUGAAUGCCCUAUGGGUUGUAAACUACUUUUAUAUAGGAAGAAACCUUUUCAUUUAUGAAAAGCUGACGGUACUAUACGAAUAAGCAUCGGCUAACUCCGUGCCAGCAGCCGCGGUAAUACGGAGGAUGCAAGCGUUAUCCGGAUUUAUUGGGUUUAAAGGGUUCGUAGGCGGGAAAUUAAGUCAGUGGUGAAAGCCUGCAGCUCAACUGUAGAACUGCCAUUGAUACUGAUUUUCUUGAAUAUAUAUGAAGUGGGCGGAAUACGUCAUGUAGCGGUGAAAUGCACAGAUAUGACGUAGAACACCGAUAGCGAAGGCAGCUCACU